GAAAUGCGAUAAGUAAUGUGAAUUGCAGAAUUCAGUGAAUCAUCGAAUCUUUGAACGCACCUUGCGCUCCUUGGUAUUCCUUGGAGCAUGCCUGUUUGAGUAUCAUGAAAUCUUCAAAGUAAAUCUUUUGUUAACUCAAUUGGUUUCUACUUUGGUAUUGGAGGUCUUUGCAGCUUCACACCUGCUCCUCUUUGUUCAUUAGCUGGAUCUCAGUGUUAUGCUUGGUUCCUCUCGGCGUGAUAAGUUAUCUAUCGCUGAGGACACUGUAAAAGGUGGCCAAGGUAAAUGCAGAUGAACCGCUUCUAAUAGUCCAUUGACUUGGACAAUACUUUUAUGAUCUGAUCUCAAAUCAGGUAGGACUACCCGCUGAACUUAAGC
rnacentral:misc_RNA from 1 species